GGAUUUAGGAGAAUUGAAUGGCACCGUGAUUAGAUCAUGUCAAUACGAGUUUGUAGACACAUAGUGGGCUUAAAUCAGAAUUGUAAUGAAGAAGUUACAAUCAACGGAAGCCUAGUGGCAUAAUCAUAAAUAUUUUGAAGUUUAGUUUUUAAAUUCUGAUUUUCUUUCCUCUCCCCCCCCACCCUUCGUGCAACACAGUAGCCGGCCAAUUCUUUGGCCGGCCAUCACCUCAUAAGGCCACCAAAUUCAACGGGACUGGCACCAAAAUGCUCAGCCAACCAACCUUUUCUCAACCCACCCCACCUCUGACCAAGGCUGCAUCUCUGGUUACCGAAAAAGCCCAAAACUGACUAGUUUUUCCCAAACUUUUCCGACACUCGUUCCGGCAAUUUCGGC
rnacentral:lncRNA from 1 species